GAUGGACCCGCGUCUGAUUAGCUAGUUGGUAAGGUAACGGCUUACCAAGGCGACGAUCAGUAGCCGACCUGAGAGGGUGAUCGGCCACAUUGGAACUGAGACACGGUCCAAACUCCUACGGGAGGCAGCAGUGGGGAAUAUUGCACAAUGGGCGAAAGCCUGAUGCAGCAACGCCGCGUGAGCGAUGAAGGCCUUCGGGUCGUAAAGCUCUGUCCUCAAGGAAGAUAAUGACGGUACUUGAGGAGGAAGCCCCGGCUAACUACGUGCCAGCAGCCGCGGUAAUACGUAGGGGGCUAGCGUUAUCCGGAAUUACUGGGCGUAAAGGGUGCGUAGGUGGUUUCUUAAGUCAGAGGUGAAAGGCUACGGCUCAACCGUAGUAAGCCUUUGAAACUGGGAAACUUGAGUGCAGGAGAGGAGAGUGGAAUUCCUAGUGUAGCGGUGAAAUGCGUAGAUAUUAGGAGGAACACCAGUUGCGAAGGCGGCUCUCUGGACUGUAACUGACACUGAGGCACGAAAGCGUGGGGAGCAAACAGGAUUAGAUACCCUGGUAGUCCACGCCGUAAA
rnacentral:rRNA from 1 species